AUUGAACGCUAGCGGGAUGCUUUACACAUGCAAGUCGAACGAGUGGCGGACGGGUGAGUAAUAUAUCGGAACGUGCCCAGUAGCGGGGGAUAACUACUCGAAAGAGUGGCUAAUACCGCAUACCAUCGGAGCGGCCGAUAUGGGAUUAGCUAGUUGGUGGGGUAAAGGCUCACCAAGGCAACGAUCCGUAGCUGGUUUGAGAGGACGACCAGCCACACUGGAACUGAGACACGGCCCAGACUCCUACGGGAGGCAGCAGUGGGGAAUUUUGGACAAUGGGGGAAACCCUGAGCCAGCCAUGCCGCGUGUAUGAGAAGGCCUUCGGGUUGUAAAGUACUUUUAGCAGGGAAGCGUUACCUGCAGAAGAAGCACCGGCUAACUACGUGCCAGCAGCCGCGGUAAUUC
rnacentral:rRNA from 1 species